GUCUUUUUGAAUUUUAUAUAAAGUCUAACCUGCCCACUGAUUUUUUAAAUGGCCGCGGUAUUUUGACCGUGCAAAGGUAGCAUAAUCAUUAGUCUUUUAAUUGAAGGCUUGUAUGAAUGGUUGAAUGAGAAAUUAACUGUCUCAAAUAAAUUUAUAAUUGAAUUUAAUAUUUUAGUUAAAAAGCUAAAAUAAUAUUUAAAGACGAGAAGACCCUAUAGAGUUUUAUAAUUAUAAUAUUAAUUUUAUAAAGAUUAAUUAAAAUUUUAUAUAAAUAAUUAUUUUGUUGGGGUGACAAUAAUAUUAAAUAAACUAUUAUAUAUUUUAAACAAUAAUUUUUGUUUAAUUGAUCCAUUAAUAAUGAUUAUUAAAUUAAAUUACCUUAGGGAUAACAGCGUAAUAUUUUUAGAGAGUUCAUAUCGAUAAAAAUGAUUGCGACCUCGAUGUUGGAUUAAGAAUUAUUUUUAGGUGUAGAAGUUUAAAGUUGAGGUCUGUUCGACCUAUAAAUUCUU
rnacentral:rRNA from 1 species